UUUCUAGAGAAGGAGUUUCUCUCGAAAGAAGUGAGUGGGAGGAAAGUAGAACUUGAUGAGGUAACUGUACCUGCUCCCUUAUUGGAAAGUAGUUCAUCACAAAAAUCAGUUCUUCUGAUUCCUACACCAAUUAGUGAGGAAGCUAAUGAUGAUGAUCAUAAAGCUUCAGAUCAAGUUACUACCGAACCUCGUAGGUCUUCCAGAGUAUGGUCCACUCCAAAGUGGUACGGUGAUCCUAUUCUAGAAAUCAUGUUACUAGACCGUGAUGAACCUACGAACUAUGAGGAAGCAAUGAUGAGCCCAGAUUCCGCAAAAUGGCUGGAGGCCAUGAAAUCUGAG
rnacentral:rRNA from 1 species